ACGUAGGGGGCAAGCGUUAUCCGGAUUUACUGGGUGUAAAGGGAGCGUAGGCGGCGGAGCAAGUCAGAAGUGAAAGCCCGGGGCUCAACCCCGGGAUGGCUUUUGAAACUGCCCUGCUUGAUUUCAGGAGAGGUAAGCGGAAUUCCUAGUGUAGCGGUGAAAUGCGUAGAUAUUAGGAGGAACACCAGUGGCGAAGGCGGCUUACUGGACUGACAAUGACGCUGAGGCUCGAAAGCGUGGGGAGCAAACAG
rnacentral:rRNA from 1 species